CGUCUGCUGUUUAGAGGGGGAUUGUAGAUUACGAAGAUCACAAUCUUCCUCCCAAUCUGCUGUCAGAGUUCCAUGUAUAGAGCUUGUGCACUCAUUGCUAACUCGAUCUCCCAGGUCUUCAAACUUACAUUUCUGCUUCAUUAGGAGUGCCACUUCCCUUCCCUGUCUCUGUGUCCCUCUCUUUUCGUAUCACCUGGUAGCCCUCUGGAAAGAUUGCAUCUGACAUCAUGUCGUUAAUUUUAGUUUCCACAAUUGCAACUAUGUCAGUCUAGUUGAUAGGCAUAGAGGAUCGGAAGAGCAUAC